GGGUAGUGUGUGGUACUAAGCUUGGAACAAGUAGGGCGGGACACGAGAAAUCCUGUUUGAACAUGGGGGGACCAUCCUCCAAGGCUAAAUACUCUUCAUCGACCGAUAGUGAACUAGUACCGUGAGGGAAAGGCGAAAAGAACCCCGGGAGGGGAGUGAAAUAGAUCCUGAAACCGUAUGCUUACAAAAAGUCGGAGCCUUCCGCAAGGGGGGUGACGGCGUACCUUUUGUAUAAUGGGUCAGCGACUUACGUUCAGUUGCAAGCUUAACCGUAUAGGGAAGGCGAAGGGAAACCGAGUCCGAAUAGGGCGAUUUAGUAGCUGGGCGUAGACCCGAAACCAAGUGAUCUAUCCAUGGCCAGGAUGAAGGUGCCGUAACAGGUACUGGAGGUCCGAACCGACUAAUGUUGCAAAAUUAGCGGAUGAGCUGUGGAUAGGGGUGAAAGGCUAAACAAACUUGGAAAUAGCUGGUUCUCUCCGAAAACUAUUUAGGUAGUGCCUCGCGUAUUACCAUUGGGGGUAGAGCACUGUUUAGGCUAGGGGGUCAUGGCGACUUACCAAACCUAUGCAAACUCCGAAUACCAAUGAGUACAGCGCGGGAGACAGAGCACCGGGUGCUAACGUCCGGACUCAAGAGGGAAACAACCCAGACCGCCAGCUAAGGUCCCCAAAAUUGGCUAAGUGGGAAACGAAGUGGGAAGGCUAAAACAGUCAGGAUGUUGGCUUAGAAGCAGCCAUCAUUUAAAGAAAGCGUAAUAGCUCACUGAUCGAGUCGUCCUGCGCGGAAGAUGUAACGGGGCUAAGCCAGUUACCGAAGCUGCGGAUGCAUAGCAAUAUGCGUGGUAGGAGAGCGUUCUGUAAGCCUGCGAAGGUGGAUCGUGAGGUCUGCUGGAGGUAUCAGAAGUGCGAAUGCUGACAUGAGUAGCGUUAAAGGGGGUGAAAAGCCCCCUCGCCGUAAGCGCAAGGUUUCCUACGCAACGUUCAUCGGCGUAGGGUGAGUCGGCCCCUAAGGCGAGGCAGAGAUGCGUAGCUGAUGGGAAACAGGUCAAUAUUCCUGUACCGAUCUAUAGUGCGAUGUGGGGACGGAUCUUUGAAGUUCAUCCUAUUAUUGGAUUUAGGUUUCUAUUCUGUAGGCGUUUGUUAGGUAAAUCCGGCAAACAUAUACCGAGGGGAUGGAAGGGAAAUAGAUUUAUCUAUCCAACUGAAUGAAUGAGGUCCCAGGAAAAGCCACUAAGCUUCAGCUUGUAACGACCGUACCGCAAACCGACACUGGUGCGCGAGAUGAGUAUUCUAAGGCGCUUGAGAGAACUCUGGAGAAGGAACUCGGCAAAUUGACACCGUAACUUCGGAAGAAGGUGUGCCCUAGUAGUGUGAGGUGAACAACCAAGCACGGACGGGUCUCAGAGAAUCGGUGGCUGCGACUGUUUAUUAAAAACACAGCACUCUGCAAAGACGAAAGUCGACGUAUAGGGUGUGACGCCUGCCCGGUGCUGGAAGAUUAAUUGAUGGGGUGCAAGCUCUUGAUCGAAGUCCCAGUAAACGGCGGCCGUAACUAUAACGGUCCUAAGGUAGCGAAAUUCCUUGUCGGGUAAGUUCCGACCUGCACGAAUGGCGUAACGAUGGCCACGCUGUCUCCUCCAGAGACUCAGCGAAGUUGAAAUGUUUGUGAUGAUGCAAUCUCCCCGCGGAAAGACGGAAAGACCCCAUGAACCUUUACUGUAGCUUUGUAUUGGACUUUGAACAGAUCUGUGUAGGAUAGGUGGGAGGCUUUGAAGUAGGGACGCUAGUUUCUAUGGAGCCAACGUUGAAAUACCACCCUGGUGUGUUUGAGGUUCUAACCUUGUCCCGUUAUCCGGGAUGGGGACAGUGUAUGGUGGGCAGUUUGACUGGGGCGGUCUCCUCCCAAAGUGUAACGGAGGAGUUCGAAGGUACGCUAAAUACGGUCGGAAAUCGUGUUGAUAGUGCAUUGGCAUAAGCGUGCUUGACUGCGAGACUGACAAGUCGAGCAGGUACGAAAGUAGGACAAAGUGAUCCGGUGGUUCUGUAUGGAAGGGCCAUCGCUCAUCCGCUAGUUUUGCAACACUAGUCGGUUCGGACCUCCAGUGCGUGUUACCGCACCUUCAUCCUGGCCAU
rnacentral:rRNA from 1 species